rnacentral:rRNA from 1 species
GAUGAACGCUGGCGGUAUGCUUAACACAUGCAAGUCGAACGGACUCUUCGGAGUUAGUGGCGGACGGGUGAGUAACGCGUGAGAAUCUGGCUUUGGGUUCGGGACAACCACUGGAAACGGUGGCUAAUACCGGAUGUGCCGAGAGGUAAAAGAGAAAUUGCCUGAAGAUGAGCUCGCGUCUGAUUAGCUAGUUGGUGAGGUAAAGGCUCACCAAGGCAGCGAUCAGUAGCUGGUCUGAGAGGAUGACCAGCCACACUGGGACUGAGACACGGCCCAGACUCCUACGGGAGGCAGCAGUGGGGAAUUUUCCGCAAUGGGCGAAAGCCUGACGGAGCAAUACCGAGUGAGGGAAGAAGGCUCUUGGGUUGUAAACCUCUUUUCUUAGGGAAGAACAAAAUGACGGUACCUAAGGAAUCAGCAUCGGCUAACUCCGUG